rnacentral:rRNA from 1 species
UUGAACGCUGGCGGCGGCCUAACACAUGCAAGUCGAACGGGGUGGCGAACGGGUGAGUAACGCGUGAGCAACCUGCCUAUGACAGUGGGAUAGCCUCGGGUAACCGGGAUUAAUACCGCAUAGUAAUAGAGGGGCUCGCGUUUGAUUAGCUAGUUGGUGAGAGAACAGCCCACCAAGGCGAAGAUCAGUAGCCGGUCUGGGAGGAUGAACGGCCACAUUGGAACUGAGACACGGUGCAAACUCCUACGGGAGGCAGCCGUGGGGAAUAUUGCACAAUGGGGGAACCCCUGAUGCAGCGACGCCGCGUGAACGAAGAAGGUAUUCGUAUCGUAAAGUUCUGUCCUAUGGGAAGCAGUACCAUAGAAGAAAGCUCCGGCUAAAUACGUGCCAGCAGCCGCGGUAAUAC